rnacentral:rRNA from 1 species
CAAAAACAUGUCUUUUUGAUUAUAAUUUAAAGUCUAGCCUGCCCAAUGAUUUUUAAAUGGCCGCAGUAUUUUGACUGUGCAAAGGUAGCAUAAUCAUUAGUUUUUUAAAUGAAAGCUGGAAUGAAUGGUUUGAUGAAAUAUUAACUGUCUCAUUUUAAAUUUUUUAAAAUUUUAAUUUUAAGUGAAAAAGCUUAAAUGUUUUAAAAAGACGAGAAGACCCUAUAGAGUUUAAUAUUAUAAGCUAAAAGAUAAUAAUGGUUUUCUUCUUUUUUUUUGGUUUAUAGUAUUUUGUUGGGGUGAUAUAAAAAUUUAAGAAACUUUUUAUUUAUUAAUACAUAAAUUUAUGAAUUUUUGAUCCUAAUUUUUAGAUUAUAAGAUUAAAUUACCUUAGGGAUAACAGCGUAAUUUUUUUUAGAAGUUCAUAUUUAUAAAAAAGUUUGCGACCUCGAUGUUGGAUUAAAAUUUAUUUUAGGUGUAGUAGCUUAAAUAUUAGGUCUGUUCGACCUUUAAAAUUUUACAUGAUCU